GAUGAACGCUGGCGGCGUGCCUCAAACAUGCAAGUCGAGCGAGGCUAUGAAUUACCGCAAGGUAAGGCAUAGCCUAGCGGCGAACGGGUGAGUAACACGUGGGUAACCUACCUGGAAGACAGGGAUAACGAUUCGAAAGGGUCGCUAAUACCUGAUAAUAUCCGUCUGCCGGAUGGCGGAGGGAAGAAAGGGGAAACCCGCUUUCAGAUGGGCCCGCGUCCCAUCAGCUAGUUGGUAAGGUAAAGGCUUACCAAGGCGACGACGGGUAGCCGGUCUGAGAGGAUGUACGGCCACACUGGGACUGAGAUACGGCCCAGACUCCUACGGGAGGCAGCAGUUGGGAAUCUUAGGCAAUGGACGAAAGUCUGACCUAGCGACGCCGCGUGAGGGAAGAAGGCCUUCGGGUUGUAACCGUCUGUCAUGGGGAAGAAGGAAGUGACGGUACCCAAGAGGAAGCCCCUGCUAACUACGUG
rnacentral:rRNA from 1 species